GGAGUCUGUAGUGACUAUAGAGUGAAUUAUUCUUUCACCUUUUACUAAAGAAUACUGUGUAUGUAAGUUUUUUGAGUGAUUCUAUUUCGGAAAAACAUUAAUAGACGUUUU